rnacentral:rRNA from 1 species
GACGAACGCUGGCGGCGUGCUUAACACAUGCAAGUCGAACGGAAAGGCCCUGCUUGUAGGGUACUCGCGUGGGGAACGGGUGAGUAACACGCGGGUGGACUGCCCUGCUCUUCGGGUUAAGCCUGGGAGAGAGGGUGGAUUAAAGGCUAGAUGACAUCUUUAUUGUGAUGGUUGGAUAGUUAUUUAGGUGUUGGAUGAGCUCUCAGGCUAUCGGCUUGUUGGUGGGGUAAUGGGUUACCUACGCGGCGUCGGGUAGCCGGCCUGAGAGGGUGGACGGCCACAUUGGGACUUAGGGACGGCCCAGACACCUACAGGAGGCAACAGGGGGGAAUAUUGCCCAAGGGGCGCGAGCCUGGUGCAGCGACGCCGCGGGGGGGAAGACGGCCUUCGGGUUGUAAAACCGUUUCGCUAGGGACGAAGCAUUUAGUGACGGUACCUAGAUAAGAAGCACCGGCUAACUACGUG